UACGUAUGUCGCGAGCGUUAUCCGGAAUUAUUGGGCAUAAAGGGCAUCUAGGCGGCCGGGUAAGUCCGGGGUGAAAACUGCUGGCUCAACCAGCAGCCUGCCUUGGAAACUACCCGGCUUGAGUGCUGGAGAGGUGGACGGAACUGCACGAGUAGAGGUGAAAUUCGUAGAUAUGUGCAGGAAUGCCGAUGAUGAAGAUAGUUCACUGGACGGCAACUGACGCUGAAGUGCGAAAGCUAGGGGAGCGAAC
rnacentral:rRNA from 1 species